UCCAAAUUCAAACUUUGUGGCACUUUAUAUAUUGGCUAAUUGUUUAUUUUGAUCAUAUCAACUGUGAUGAAGUAAUUUUAAUGAUAAUUUUAUUUGUAUUGAAUAAUAUUCCUUUCUCUUCUCUAUUCUCAAGAAUUUCUUUUAGGUUUUAAAUUCCCUUUUUGGUCUUUAAUAUUUUUCUUGUCACAAAAUGCAUACAAAAAUAAAAUAUCCAGCAUGAUGCAACAAUUUGGUAGCAUAUCUUUUUAUUAAUUGUUCUUGGACAUGGUGUUCUCAUAUGAUGAUGCAUAAAGAUCGAACUCACAUAUAGAGAAAUUGUUUCUCUACUGGUACUAUUUCUAGCAAUUACAAAGUGGGUGUUACAAAUCCUACCCCCCUUAAAAAUAAUCUCGUCCUCGAGAUUUAGGAAGAACGAGGGAAAAGAUGAGGAAAAUCUAUGCGAAGCUCUUCUUCUCUUUCCCAAGUUGCUUCAUCUUCACCGUGGUGACUCCAUUGGACUUUGCACAUCUUUAUCACCUUAUUUCUUGUAACUCGAGUCAAUGUAUCCAAAAUCUUGAUAGGGUACUCCGUGUAAGUCAAAUCACCUUGAACACUGAGCUCUUCCAUGGGUAACUGUUCCUCAGGCACACGGAGACAUUUCUUAAGUUGGGACACGUGGAACACAUUAUGCACAUCUGAUAGACUAGCAGGUAACUCGAGUUGGUAUGCCAUCUCCCCAACUCUUCUAAAGAUCAAGAAUGGUCCAAUGUAGCGAGGGGACAAUUUGCCCUUAACUUUAAAUCUCCUCAUUCCACGCAGUGGUGACACCUUGAGGUACACAUAAUCUCCUUCUUCGAAUUCCAGUGGCCUUCUUCUAUUAUCAGCAUAGCUCUUUUGCCUGGUUUGAGCCACCCUCAAAUUCUCCCGAAUUAUACGAACUUGUUCUUCUGCUUCUUGAAUCAGUUCAGGCCCAAAGAACUGUCUCUCACCAGUCUGAUCCCAAUACAAAGGAGUCCUGCACUUUCUCCCAUAUAAAGCUUCAAAAGGUGACAUCUUCAGACUGGCCUGGUAACUAUUAUUAUACGAGAACUCAGCAUAAGGUAGACUCUUAUCCCAACUUCCUCCAUGCUGAAGGGCACAAGCUCUCAGCAUAUCCUCCAAGACUUGAUUUGUCCUUUCAGUCUGUCCAUCAGUCUGAGGGUGAUAAGCUGUACUGAAAUUCAACUUCGUACUCAUGUUCUCAUGAAAACUUCUCCAAAAUCUUGAGGUAAACUGUGAACCUCGAUCAGACACGAUCUUCUUUGGUACUCCAUGCAAACACACAAUUCGAGCCAUAUAUAACUCUGCUAGCUGAGAACCUUUAUAAGUAGUCUUCACAGGAAUAAAGUGAGCCACUUUAGUCAAUCUAUCCACAAUCACCCAUAUUGCAUCAUAUCCUUUCUGGGUGCGAGGCAAUCCAGUAAUGAAAUCCAUACCAAUCUCUUCCCAUUUCCACUCGGGUAUCUUCAGUGGAUGCAGUAGUCCAGCUGGCCUCUGGUGUUCAGCCUUAACUCUUUGACAUACAUCGCACAUAGCCACAUAUGCAGCCACAUCUCUCUUCAAUCCAUACCACCAAUACUUUCGCUUCAAAUCCUGGUACAUCUUGGUACUACCAGGAUGAAUAGAGUAAUCUGAAUCAUGGGCCUCUUUCAAUAUAGUCUCUCGAAGGCUUUUAAUAUUCGGAACACACAUUCUGUCCUUGAACCAUACAGUGCCUUGCUCAUCUUCUGUGAACUCCGGAACUCGACCUUCAGUAAUCAGAUCCUUAAUCUCUUUUAUUUUAGCAUCACCAAUUUGUCCUUUGCGGAUCUCCUGCUCCAAAGUAGGUUCCACAUCAAUAGUAACUCCUUCAGUAUGAGUAACUAUCCCCAGGUUAAGUCUCCUGAAAUCCUCAACAAUCUCAUCGGGUAGCUGGGCAACAAUAGUUGGAUGAACAUGCUCCUUGCGACUCAAGGCAUCUGCAACCAAAUUAGCCUUGACCGGGUGAUAGUGAAUCUCCAAAUCAUAAUCCUUUAUAAGCUCCAACCAACGACGUUGCCUAAGGUUGAGAUCCUUCUGAGUGAAUAUGUACUUCAAACUCUUAUGAUCCGUGUAUACUUGGCACUUAGUUCCCAUAAUAUAGUGUCUCCAAAUCUUAAGUGCAUGCACAACUGCAGCCAAUUCCAAGUCAUGAGUGGGGUAGUUCAAUUCAUGCUUCCGCAACUGACGAGAUGCAUAGGCAAUCACAUGACCAUCUUGCAUAAGCACACAUCCAAGUCCUUGGCCACAUGCAUCACAGUAAAUGUCAAAUCCCUUCUGCAGAUCUGGCAUAAUCAAUACUGGAGGUGACAUCAAUCUCUCCUUCAAUUGAUCAAAACUCUCUUGGCAUUUUUCAUCCCAUUUGAAUUCUCUUCCUUUCUCCAAAAGCGAUGUCAUGGGCUUAGCAAUCUUAGAAAAUCCUUCAAUAAAUCUCCGAUAAUAUCCUGCGAGUCCCAAGAAACUCCGAAUCUCCGUAACUGUAUUGGGCACUCUCCACUCCAUUAUCUCCUUAACCUUAGCAGGAUCCACUGAUAUUCCUCCAUUAGAAUUGAUAUGUCCAAGGAAUGACAUCUCGUCAAUCCAAAACUCGCAUUUGCUGUACUUGGCAUAGAGUUGAUUAUCUUGUAACUUCUGUAGCUCCAAUCUCAGAUGUUCCUCAUGAUCGCUUCACUCUUAGAAUAGAUAAGAAUAUCGUCGAUGAAUACCACGACGAAUCUGUCCAAAUACUCCAUAAACACCUUAUUCAUCAAAUUCACGAAAUAAGCCGGUGCAUUGGUUAAUCCAAAUGACAUAACAGUAAACUCAUAUAAUCCAUAUCGGGUCGAGAAAUCCGUCUUGAGAAUAUCCGAUGGCCAAAUCUUCAUUUGAUGGUAACCCGAUCGGAGAUCAGUCUUCGAGAAUACCCUUGCACCUCUCAUCUGAUUAAAUCUUCAAUACGGGGCAACAGAUACUUGUUCUUCACCGUAACAUCAUUAAGAGAUCUAUAAUCCACACACAUCCGCUGCGAUCCAUCCUUCUUCUGUACAAACAGAACCGGUGCUCCCCAAGGUGAGGAACUCGGACGAAUGUACCUAGCCUCUUGUAACUCAGUUAACUGCUUCUUAAGUUCCUUGAGCACUUCUACGAACAUCAUGUAUGGCCGUUUAGAAAUAGGAGCAGUCCUAGAUAAUUCUUCUGGGAAGACAUCCGGAAAAUCUCUAACCACACGGAUGUUGUCACCAACAAACUUCCCAUCUACUAAGAAUAUCGCUAGUCUAGUAGCGGUAGUUACUGCAAUUCCAACUUCAAAUCUUUCUCCUUUGGAACUGGUGAGUUCUAUGGUUCCUUUAGCACAGUGUAUAAACUGCCUUUGCCUUUCUUAACCAUGACAUACCAAGUAUCACGUCUAUAGUGUUCUCUUCUAACACUAUAGGGGUAGUCCAUCUCGGUUAGAAAUACAGGGUAAGAAAGGAAGAAUUGUAGACAAGGCGAGUAAUUACGAAUCAUGUUAUUUUUGGGGGAUUUAUUAGCUAAGCAGAUUAAUGUUUUACCUAUCAUAGCUAAUUCUUUACUUUAUAGUGGUACAUACUAAGAUGUCCAAAUAUAAUAUUUCAAACAUUCAAAGAAGCAAAUCAGACAUUUAUCAUCAGAACAAUCAAACAACGUUUUUAAUAGAGAAAAUAAUUUUAUUUUUUUGUCUUAGGUCUCCUAUCUCUUAAAAAGGUCAUAAAGGUAGGAUUCCAAAGUGUGAAAUCCAUCUUGUCUCAGAGUAGAAAAGGUAAGAAUCAUCAGAGUAGAACAGUAGAAGGUGAGACAGGAUCAAGAUAAGUGUAGAAAGAAUCAGAGUAAGGUGAGUAUAGAAUGAAUCAGAAUGAGAUAAGUAGGUAAGGGUUUUGUCCAUUUCUAUCUAGGUUUCGUCCUACAGUCAACAUUUCCUCUGAUACCACUUCUGUAACACCCGGCUUUAAGGAACAAAGCCAGGUGCAUCUCAUACAUGCGCCAAGAAGACAACAUAUAUAAUAACAGAGUGUAUAGAGAUAAAUGUCAUAAAUCAUCAGAGUAUUUAUUACAUAGCGGAAGACUUAUUACAAAGUAAAAGAUAAAUAUAAAACGAACUAAGGAUCGUCGGCGCCAAUGUCGACUAAGAAACGCCACCUAGAUCAGAUCGAACUCCUCAGUGUUAGGCGGCUCCUCUUCGACCACCUGCUCUUCUCCUGUGGGGGGGUGUGAGACAGCAAGAGUGAGCUCACAUACGUUCAUAGCUCAACAAGUCGUGGGGAAUAAUGUGGCAUGAACUCACCAAAGGUGGGAGUUCAUGAAGUGUAAGGUUGAUCAAUGAAAUAAAGGCUGAGGCUAAGCAUUGCUUUUAUAAGUUGGUCAAAAUUUUAUUAGCAAUUACUAAGUGUAAGUAAAUACCAAACCUUAUAAUAAUAAAGAACAGUAAUAGUAAAAUAAUCCCAAAUGCGAUGCAAAUGUCAAAUUGAAUUUAAGUUCCAUAAUUAACCAUGUGAGGGUCCGAGCCGCUCAUGACCGUGAGCACGGCUAGUAUACUAGUUUUACACUCUGCAGAGGUUGCGCAUCUUUACCCACAAGCCGUGUUACCCAUCUGCCAAGGGGUCAUGAAUUCCAUACACCUCUACCAAGGAAGCGAGGCAGGGUAACACUACGAGGCCUUUACAAAGUUCCACUAGCUUCAGACUACCCGCUACAGUUUAUAGGAAGUUCCAAUGCAGGGUUCCUGGCUGACCGCCAUCGCAGCAAAAUCAACCAGGGACCUCCCUACACUGACCACUCCCCUACUGCCCUUGCCCCUUUCGGGUAAGGCAGCCCUCCACUAGCUUUCCUAGUUAAUCAGCCAAGGGCGUCCCAUUAAACCCUUGUGGUAGCACUGUUUUCCCGGGUGGUCGCUCCAUGUUCCCAUUAAUUUAAUGAUCUUAACAUGAACAGUAAUAAUAACAAGAUAAUAACAGAAUAAUCAUGAAUAGUGUAUCUCCAUACCCAAUCCACAUAAAGCAAUAGCAAGUACUACCCAAAAAUAUUUCAGGGGUGAACAAGGUAUAGAGGUAAUCAAAACUGGGGUAACAUAAAGGCUCCCAUCAAAAUUAACCUAUGCAGAUCAUUAAAAUUAAUAAGAACAUGGCUGGGAAAAGUAAGUGAUCAAGGGCACAACUUGCCUUCAAUGAGCUCCUGCUCAGCUACUUCAACCUGCUGCUCACCAGGAUCCUCAGCAACGGGCUCUUCUACUCGCCACAAUACAAACAAGCACAGUGUAUAUAGAGAAAUUAACAUUACACCAAACAUAUAAAUAAAAUGCACAGUAAUAAUCUACAUAUUAAAAUAGAACCCUAGGAACAGGAAUCAAAAUUUUCUGAGUUAUAGAUUUUAAGUUAUGCCUUUUUUAAAGGUUUUAUGUGCUUUAAAUAGGAUUAAAUGUGAAAUAAAUUUCUUACUGUUUUCAUGACAUAACAGAGGCCCUAGGUGCUAAAGAAUAAAAUUACAAAAUUUUAGUAACUGGAAUGAAGUGAUUUGGAGUUAGUAUGAAUUUUCUAUGAAUUUAUUAAGUUCUAGUAAUUAUUUUCAUAUUAAAAAUUCAUUUUCUAUUUACUUUCUCUGGUUUUCGUGUUGACUGGACUGGGCCUCAAAAUCUGAGAACAGCAGGGGGCUCUGGGUAAAAUCCUCUAAGACUCAGAUCACCCGCACAGUGGACCGCGGGUUAUUUAUCUAAAACCCGAGGGACUCUUUUAGAAAACGGCUUCGACGAAGAGGUAUGAGGACACUACGGCCAUCCGAUUAGAGCCCGACGGCGUGGAUUAGAUAGGCCCAAGGCCCAAACCGGUCACACGCGACUGCCGUCCGAUUGUAUACCAGCGCCCCAGAUUCAAAGUAGCCUUGAUCCCCCCCGACCGCACGAUUCCAAAUCAACGGCUCCUACCUAAAGUGGCGAACGGGUACGCGCAGAUCUAAUCGCAGCCGUUCACGCGAUGAUCAACGGGCGCGAAUCUCUCUUCUCCCCCCGACCUACCAAGACGGCGGCGCCGCCGCGAUUCCCACCCGGUUGAACUCCGGUGAGGUGGAAUCGGUGUUCCCCAAGUGCUAAGCCUCAAAUUGAAUCGAUAUUUACCAUGCGGAAAUCAAAACGAUCACGAGGAACGGAUACAUACCGGCAAUCGAGACACCGACGACGCUGGCCACGCAACGAUGCGGUUCCGCGGCUGCGCCCGCGCUCCGGCGAGAAAUCAACCUCGCCCUGCUGCCGGAUUCGCCUCACCAAGUGCACGAACAGCUUCACCACGCCCCUGGGAGGUUCCACAACCCGGCAACGCGACCAGGUCGGCUAGGGGGAAAGCUUUCCCCGAUCCGCGGGACGCGAUCCUCACGGCUCUCACGGCAAAGGUGGAUAUCGCUUUGGUUAGAGCUGCCUACACGCCGAUGAAGAAAAGAGGAGGAUGAGGAUCGGGUUCCGGUCUUCAUAUGGCCGUCCAAGGUCCGCCUGCGCCCACACAACGGAUCCCGCAAUCUGCGCCAUGACCGAGUCCGAGCACGCCCGGGUCGCGCGGCGAAGAAAGGGUACGGUUCUGGCAGAGCGGGCCCGCACGGCAGUGAAAGGGAGGGAGGAGCGAGCGCGGUAGUUCGCUAUGGCCGGGAGCGCGCGAGUUCACCGGCGGAAUCAACGGAGUCCACGCCCAGCGGCGAAAUCACCGCGAGGUGGGUGACGAGCCUGACCGAGGGGUCCCACGCGGCAGUGGCCGGUAAGCGAAGAGUCGGACGUGUGUAUGACCGAGCGGUCCCACCCGUCGGCGCGCGUAGGCUGGGGAAGUGGGCUGCACGAGGGUAACGGCAGGUGGGCCGAAAUGGAGCGCCAGGGCCCAGUUAGCUUCUUUUCUUUUUUUUUCUUUUUAUUUUCUGUUUCAUUUCUUUUUCAAAUUCAAACUUCAAUCCAAAUUCAAACUUUGUGGCACUUUAUAUAUUGGCUAAUUGUUUAUUUUGAUCAUAUCAACUGUGAUGAAGUAAUUUUAAUGAUAAUUUUAUUUGUAUUGAAUAAUAUUCCUUUCUCUUCUCUAUUCUCAAGAAUUUCUUUUAGGUUUUAAAUUCCCUUUUUGGUCUUUAAUAUUUUUCUUGUCACAAAAUGCAUACAAAAAUAAAAUAUCCAGCAUGAUGCAACAAUUUGGUAGCAUAUCUUUUUAUUAAUUGUUCUUGGACAUGGUGUUCUCAUAUGAUGAUGCAUAAAGAUCGAACUCACAUAUAGAGAAAUUGUUUCUCUACUGGUACUAUUUCUAGCAAUUACAAAGUGGGUGUUACAACUUAUAAUUAGCAAAUUAGGUGUUGUUAAUAAAAUAUUGACCUACUAAAAUGCUUACCGCACAACCAUAGCCUAUCUUGUUAACCUUGCAUAGUUUCUUCCAUUUGCUGAGCCCCCACCGUAAGUAAGUUCACCCCUUGCUAAAUUUUUUAUAUGAGGUGGUGAGGAAGACUUUGACGAAGAUCUUGAUGAGUACCGAGUCUAGCGGCGUUGUGGUCAUCUUCCUGUGGGAGAUCAGCCAUGUUAUUUCUACUGUACUUUGAUUAUGAUACUGUUUAAGACACUUAAGUCUGGAUGAUGUAAUAAAGUUAUUAUACUCUCUUUUACGCCUUUAUUGCAUUGUCUUUUGAUAUAUUACACUUGUGACGUCAACAUAUGUGUGGAAAAAGGAUCCUAGCACACAUAUGCUAUGCAUUCGGUUUGGCCCCUAAAACCGGGUGUGACAAACACCUAGGGGUGGGCACUUUUUAACCGUAAACCGAAAACCUAACCGUACCAAAAUUUUGGUAGCUCAGUUUUGGUUUUUGUAUCCAAGAAGUUCUGUGUUCGUUAUCAUAAUAAGUUUUCAUGGUAUGCCAAACCGAAAUACCAAAAAAACCGAAUACCAAACUUUAUCAGUUCUAAAAUUUGACUAUUUGAUUAUGUGAACUAAACGUGUGAUGCAAUUAAAUUGAUAUUCACUUAUUUGCAUGUGAUAUAUGAUCAUCUCUAAAUAUGUGUACCUAUAUAAUUUUUACUUUUU
rnacentral:lncRNA from 1 species